CCUGGAAUUAAGAAUCUGGGUAGAGUAAGGCUCGUGGAGGAGGCAGUGGCUCCGGCCGGCGGGUCGAGGAGGUUUCAUUUUUGGCGAAGGGGGCGCGGCCCGAGACACACAUUCGGGGCGGGGAAAUGGAGAUGAGACUCAGCCAGCUGUGAAUCCCUGGGCUGCUCAGAGCUACGCGGACCUUCUCCGGCUAGGGCGAGUCCUGCAGGGCUUCAUGGAAACAAGGUGGGCUUUUAUAAGGAAGAAAGUUUGGAGAAGUCACCCCAGGCAGCAGAACUCGAUCUCGAGAUGAAAUAACUUCUACCUGGCCUUCUGGCAGAAUUUCAAGGCAAACACUGGGCUGACCCUGAGACCACGACGUUGCUUAAUCCUUCUAUUUGGGGAGAGCAGGACUGGGAGGAGAUUUUGCCUUUGGAGAACAGGGAAGAUAUGGAGACCAUGAAGAAAUUCACCCAAAAUCAUGUGGCAAAAGGUUUGGCUUCUAACGAUACUGACUGGCUCCAAGCAAAGGAGGGAAAGCCUAAAAUGCCAGAAGCGACACCCGAUGGAGGAAUUUGGACACGCAGACAACUUUGUUAGAGGAAGGAGAAUUUAUUGGCCGGCGGAGCAUGUGGGGUUAACAACACCAUGCACGAGCUCCCCUUGGUUAGAUUUUUUACAGUUUAUAUACCCUUGUCCAUGCAAGUGGUGUGUGAUUCCUUUGUCUGAGGUUUCACUUGUGUUUCAUGACUCAGGAUGGGGAGGAGGAGCUUCGGGUGGGGAGCAAGGGGAUAGGAAUUUCCAGACUAUCGGUCUUAUCUAUUUACCGGUCAUUUUGCCUUGUAGAACCCACGACCUUGGCAUUGUCAGCACUGUUAUAGAAUUUUCGGAGAGAGGGGACACCAAGGCUAUAAGCAGAAAGUAGCACUUAUUGAUGCUGGCACCAGCUCAGCAGAUUCCUAUCCAAAGGCUGAGCCCCGAUUGUAACAUAGCAAGCAGUUUUACACGGUCUUGUUAUUCCUACACAGCUACAGCGAUAAGGAAGAGCAUUAGUUGGAUAGCAAGCUAUGAAUCAACAGAUGAGAGUCCUUGAGGUUGGGGAGGUUGCUAUGGGAAAACAUGUUAGCUAGAGAGUCCUGGGUGGGGAGAGGGCGGUCAGGAAUGGAUUUUAACUGGCUCAGUUGGUCAUUUCUGCAAGCCUUUUCCUUUGCAUUUUUCAGAUGCCUCUUCUCCUCUCUUAAUUUCUCUAAUGAAAUCAUAAGUGUUGUAUACAUCAGUUAUGCUCCCCUCAGAUUUUAACACAAAGCCAUGGUGAUGCCCAGAAGAAUUUGAUACAGAGAACUGUGUACUCUGAAAGAACUAGACCAACUUCUUGUAUAUCCAGAUUCUCCAGGGCCACCAGGUAUGCUCUCCUUCCACUGGGAAAAUUGAUGGUGACUUGCUAUCCAGUAAUUGGCUGCUUGUUUACAGGUGCCCGUUAUAUUCAGGGAUGUGGCUAUAGUCUUCACAGAGGCAGAAUGGAAGAGACUGAGCUCUGAGCAGAGAAACCUAUACAAAGAAGUGAUGUGUGAGAAUUACAGGAAUCUUCUCUCAUUGCGGGAGGUUGUGUUCUUCAUUAAUUCAGUAGAGAUUUAUUGACUACCUACUAUGUGCCAGAAAAUGUUCUAAACACCUAGAAGAACCUAUUAGUAAAUGAAAUAGUAACCAUUGUCCAUGGAUGCUUACUUUUUCUAGUGUGUGGAGACAGACAACAUACAAAAAGCUUCAUAUACAGGGAUAUUAUGACAUGAUAUGGUGUUUUAGAAGCACUACCCAGUAAAAAAUAAUUAAAAACUGGAGCAAGAUAAAGGAGUAUUGAGUGUAA